rnacentral:rRNA from 1 species
GAUGAACGCUGGCGGCGUGCCUAAUACAUGCAAGUCGAGCGAACAGACGAGGAGCUUGCUCCUCUGACGUUAGCGGCGGACGGGUGAGUAACACGUGGAUAACCUACCUAUAAGGCUGGGAUAACUUCGGGAAACCGGAGCUAAUACCGGAUAAUAUAUUGAGCCGCAUGGUUCAAUAGUGAAAGACGGUUUUGCUGUCACUUAUAGAUGGAUCCGCGCCGCAUUAGCUAGUUGGUAAGGUAACGGCUUACCAAGGCAACGAUGCGUAGCCGACCUGAGAGGGUGAUCGGCCACACUGGAACUGAGACACGGUCCAGACUCCUACGGGAGGCAGCAGUAGGGAAUCUUCCGCAAUGGGCGAAAGCCUGACGGAGCAACGCCGCGUGAGUGAUGAAGGUCUUCGGAUCGUAAAACUCUGUUAUUAGGGAAGAACAAAUGUGUAAGUAACUAUGCACGUCUUGACGGUACCUAAUCAGAAAGCCACGGCUAACUACGUG